rnacentral:misc_RNA from 1 species
GUUCCGUAGGUGAACCUGCGGAAGGAUCAUUAUUGUAUAACCGAGGUGCGAGGCCUGUCGCUGACCCGUAAGGUCACGCACGCUCGAUUGCUCUCACACACAUCCAUCGCCCCCCCAAGUGCACCACCGGGUGCAUCCCCCUUUGGACUGUUCGGAGGGGGGCUUACGUUUUCACACAAACUUUGUAUGCAGUGUAGAAUGUAUUUUUUGUUUUUGCGACCACGCAAUCAAUACAACUUUCAACAACGGAUCUCUUGGCUCUC